CCCCCCGAGGGGGCUGUGUAGAAUACUACAUCCUGUCAAGUGCUUCGUUUUUAUAGGUAUUGGUAAAAAUAGGAAUUUGUCUCUAAAUUCAUUUGGAAAGAAAGCCAGAGCAGCCCCAGGUGUGAACUGUGAGGAUAAGGAGGGGCCGGCUCCUGCCGGCAGCUGUUUUAGGGGCUUUGCCUCAGCUGAUUUUACAGGGAGCUGCUGGAGAAGAGGAGUUUAUGGGUGGCUCCUGGGGCUGUCCUUGGAAGGACGGUGACAGCUUCGGACAGGGUCUGGGGGAUCACCUGGAUACGCACUUGGAUACCUGGAGCAUUGCUCAGAGGAGGUGCCGAGGGACAAACCUUUGUGCCAGGUAGCGGCAGCCAAACAGGGGCUGAAACUGAAGGGGAGAACACAUUUAUUUGCCCUUGUUGAAGUGAGGCGAGCACCUGAGUGUGGCGUCCGUGCUGGAGAGUGGGAGAAGGGUCCCUGCUGGCUGCCGUGUCCUGGGUGGGCACAGAGCUCUGACCUCGGCCAGAUGGGCUGAUGAGUAUUGAAUCAAUCCCUGCCUCCUCGUGAGCAAGUUGUUUGAAGGAGUUUGAGGCAGGGACGGCUUUUAGCCGGCUGCAGUUCGGUUUCUUUCUCACAGGUUUCCGGGUGUUUUGAUCCUGACGUCGCCAAAGCCUCAGGUUUGCUGAAUUGGGGCUCUUACCUGUGUGACCCGUGAAAUGUCCCGGAAGCUGAUCGAUGUCUUCCUGCUCCCGCUGUGUUCAUUUGGGCUGUGCUUCAGGCUUCUCUCCCUGGGCCCUUGCCGUUGCCGUAUCUCUUGGAUGCCGUGCAGAAGGGAAUCAGGCAGCCAAGCCUCAGGUUCACCUUCUCCCUCACCCUCUGCGCUGCUCGUGUGGCACAGCAGAUCCUGAAGCCAGAGGAGCACGUGUACAUAAGGGUAAAGAGAUUCCUUCUGUCACACCGGUAUUUGGACCUGAGGAAGGUACCAGGUUUUCUCCAGCUUUUCUACAGUUUUGAUUUUGAGUACAAAACAGCACGAGUGGAUCCUCAGAUUUCUUGGGGAAGGGCUGCGUGACAAACAUUGCUGUGAGCUCUAUGUCUACCAGAGGAUUUUCCGGGUCAUUCUUUCCCUUCUCAGCAGUCCUUUGUGUGACCAGGGCUCCCAGAGUCCUAUUCUGGAGAUACGACAGAGUGCUGCCCGUGUCACCUCUAGAGCUGCCCAUGAGCCGAUAGAGGAUCACAGCCUCCUCUCGUGGGUCCUGCACGGCUUAGAGAAAAGGUAACCAGCCAAGUACGGGAGACGUGGGGACAAUUUCCUGUCCACGGCUGAAGAAUGACGUGGCUGAGGAUGAAAGCAAGGGGGACAGACCUGGAGACGGGGGCACCGAGGGCUGCACUGGCAGAACUUGCUGAACGCUGAGGUGUCCCUUGUGUUUUUGAGAAGAGAAUCAAGAGGCUUUCAGGUGGUGGUGGGAGGGACGAUGGUGGGGGGGCUGUGUGAUUUGGGAAUCACUUCCUUGACAAAGCAAAAGGACACCUUGUGCUGGUGUCUUUAGCUUUGAAAUUUCAAGCAGCCUCAGUUCCCAUCCUGUCACAGGACCUGCUGCACAGGAAGUGGCACAGUAAUGGAUUUGAGCUGUCUAGAACAUUAUUUCUCCUCCCCUUGCCUCUCCCUGACAAAAAAAAUCUCUUCUGCAAGCACAGAGUGCCCUGACAGGUUCAGGCAAGUGCACCAAAAGUGCCCUAGAAUAUGGUCCCCCGUAGGAGAUGGACCAGCUGCUGGUGAGGAUCUGCCUUUCAAAUGUGGUUUUCUUUUCUUUUUUUUCUUUUUGUUCUGUUUCAUUUUGUUUUUCAGGUUUCUGGAGAACAAGGUGAUAAAUAAAAUGAUUUCCUUACUCCAUCCUCUGUGGCUAAUAAAUUUAGGAGACAAGAGAGAAAACAGGAAUCGGUCCCAGAUGCUGCUGUUGAGAUGGGUAUAUGAUCUACCUGUAUAUAGAUAUAUGCGUAUCUCUGUACAUCUGUGUAGUGCUAAUAAUGGGAGUUUUUAUGAUACGUUGCUUUACUGUCUUAUAUUUUUAAUAAAGUGUGAUUUUAAGUUAUUAGGUAUAACAUUUUAUUCUGCUUAUUGGCUAAAGUAACAUUUUCUUGUAUUUUAUUGGUAUCAAGUCAUGUUAAUCAUUAAUUGGUAAGAGUUUAUAAUGAAUUAUUAAGGUGUGAAUAUUGUUCAUUAAGGUACGUCUUUUUUUUACUGUAGGUAUUUUCAUGUGUUCGUAUGGGUUUUUAUGUUAAUGAUUUGGGGUUUUUGUGUUAUGAAUAUAUUAGUAUUUUAUUAGGGGUUUUUUUGGUUAGUUUACUUGUUUGGUGUGGUGAUCACUCCUGUUAAGUAUGUUUAUCUAUAUAUGUUUUAAAAUGUAAGUUAUAAAUCUACUUGUUAAGGAUUUUUGUAGAGUUCUAUGUAAAAAUUUAAAUCGGUAGGGGAGAUAAAAAGCAGUAAUUAUUAAUAAGAUGAGUAUUUUAGUUUUUAAUAAUGAUUUAAGUUAUUCAGCGAUGUUUUAAUUUUUGAAAAUAGUAUUUAGUUAUUUUUUAUGUGUGAUUGAUUAAUUUUUUAAAAAAAAAUUAGUAAUGGUUUUGUAAAUUGAUUUCUUGUGAUUUCAUCAAUUUAUAUAUUUUUAAAAAUGUUUUCUAUUUAUGAUUGUGUGUGAAUAAUAAAAAAUGAACAGUUGUUUUAUUUUGUAAGGUAGUAUGUUUAAAGAUGUUCAUAUUUGGCAGUAAUUUAUUUAACGUUAUACAUGUGUUAUUGUUUGAUUUGGUUAGUUAAUAAGUAAGUUCAUUUGAUGUGCUUCAAGUGUGAGUUGUAGUUAUUUUAGGUGUUAAAAGAGAUGUAGAACUAAUAGAAUUAGGUUGUUAAAAGGUUGUACGAUUUUGAUCCUGAGAAGUAAAUUUGUGUUGGAGUGAUUGGGUAUUUUUGGGUGGGUGUUCUUUUUUUUUGGUGUUUUUUUUUUUUUUUUUUUUUUAUAUGUAUUAUUGUUCUGUUUGGUCUUAGUGGGUUAAUUGUUUUAAAUUGUAGGUUUGCUGUUUUGAGGUAACUUCUUUGUGGUUUGGUGUGGUUUGGGGGUUGUUUUGUAACUAAAUAUUGUACAAGUAUUUGUUUGUAAUGAUUUGAGUAAUUUUACUUUUGGUGGUUUACCUGUCAUUUGGGGUAUGAGUGUAUAAAUGUUAUUUGAAGAGUUUA